UUGGAGGGCAAGUCUGGUGCCAGCAGCCGCGGUAAUUCCAGCUCCAAUAGCGUAUAUUAAAGUUGUUGCAGUUAAAAAGCUCGUAGUUGAAUUUCGGGGUUCUACCGUUGGUCGGGCAAUAGUCUGUACUGGCGUGUGGAAUUUCUACCUUCUGGGGAACCAUCAUGUUAUUAAUUUAGCGUGGUGGGAAACCAGGACCUUUACCUUGAAAAAAUUAGAGUGUUCAAAGCAGGCUUACGUCUGAAUACAUUAGCAUGGAAUAAUAAAAUAGGACGGUGGUCCUGUUUUGUUGGUUUCUGAAUCACCGUAAUGAUUAAUAGGGAUAGUUGGGGGCAUUAGUAUUCAAUUGUCAGAGGUGAAAUUCUUGGAUUUAUUGAAGACUAACUUCUGCGAAAGCAUUUGCCAAGGAUGUUUUCAUUAAUCAAGAACGAAAGUUAGGGGAUCGAAGACGAUCAGAUACCGUCGUAGUCUUAACCAUAAACUAUGCCGACUAGGGAUCGGACGAUGUUAAUUUUUCUUGACUCGUUCGGCGCCUUACGGGAAAC
rnacentral:rRNA from 1 species